rnacentral:rRNA from 1 species
CGGAACGUGCCCUGUUGUGGGGGAUAACUAGUCGAAAGAUUAGCUAAUACCGCAUACGACCUGAGGGUGAAAGCGGGGGACCGUAAGGCCUCGCGCAAUAGGAGCGGCCGAUGUCUGAUUAGCUAGUUGGUGGGGUAAAGGCCUACCAAGGCGACGAUCAGUAGCUGGUCUGAGAGGACGAUCAGCCACACUGGGACUGAGACACGGCCCAGACUCCUACGGGAGGCAGCAGUGGGGAAUUUUGGACAAUGGGGGCAACCCUGAUCCAGCAAUGCCGCGUGUGUGAAGAAGGCCUUCGGGUUGUAAAGCACUUUUGUCCGGAAAGAAAUCGCGCUGGCUUAAUACCUGGCGUGGAUGA